rnacentral:rRNA from 1 species
GUCCUAGCCGUAAACGGUGCACGUUUGCUGUAAAAGGAAUCGACCCCUUUUGUGGCGAAGCUAACGCGUUAAACGUGCCGCCUGGGAAGUACGGUCGCAAGAUUAAAACUCAAAGAAAUUGACGGGGGCCUGCACAAGCGGUGGAGUAUGUGGCUUAAUUCGAUGCAACGCGAAGAACCUUACCUGGCCUUGACAUGCAUAUAGUAGAAGGGUGAAAGCCUGACGAGGUAGCAAUACCAGUAUGCACAGGUGCUGCAUGGCUGUCGU